CAGAUUAAUCAAAUCAAAGCAGAGACUUGGAGAGAACAUUUCCGAGGUAAAAUCUUAAUCUCAAAAAAGAGACUAUUAAUCUUACAUCUAGAGCCUGAGACUCCUAACUUCAGUUUCCCAGGACUUUAUGGCUUUGCAAACAAAUAAGAGAAAGAUUUGAUUCAUCGUUUACAUUGUUUAUUUCUCACGCAGAUUGCCUAUGAAACCAAUGAUGUGUUCUCAGACUCACUAGUAUUUAUCCGUAUAUUUUAAGAACAUUGGUAGAAUCAUGUAUGGUUUACCUUCAGCUUCCGCCUGGAAAUAAAACUACUUUAAUCAUUCAGAGCAUGAUGUUUGGGACUGCAGCCUCUCAGACAGAUCAACUGGGUUGUAAGCCCAUCUCUAACACUUGCAGACUCUAACCUAAGAUAGAGUCAUGCUAUGGUUGCCUAGACUGGAGUGCAGUGCUAAUUCACAGGGUGAAUAUUGGUAAAAAUCUGUCUAUAUAAAGAAAUAAACCCCUGAGGAUGUCCAAGUAUCACUUU
rnacentral:lncRNA from 10 species